GAUGAACGCUGGCGGCGUGCCUAAUACAUGCGAGUCGAGCGAACGGACGAGAAGCUUGCUUCUCUGAUGUUAGCGGCGGACGGGUGAGUAACACGUGGAUAACCUACCUAUAAGACUGGGAUAACUUCGGGAAACCGGAGCUAAUACCGGAUAAUAUUUUGAACCGCAUGGUUCAAAAAUGAAAGACGGUCUUGCUGUCACUUAUAGAUGGAUCCGCGCUGCAUUAGCUAGUUGGUAAGGUAACGGCUUACCAAGGCAACGAUGCAUAGCCGACCUGAGAGGGUGAUCGGCCACACUGGAACUGAGACACGGUCCAGACUCCUACGGGAGGCAGCAGUAGGGAAUCUUCCGCAAUGGGCGAAAGCCUGACGGAGCAACGCCGCGUGAGUGAUGAAGGUCUUCGGAUCGUAAAACUCUGUUAUUAGGGAAGAACAUAUGUGUAAGUAACUGUGCACAUCUUGACGGUACCUAAUCAGAAAGCCACGGCUAACUACGUG
rnacentral:rRNA from 1 species